UGGGGAAUUUUGGACAAUGGGCGAAAGCCUGAUCCAGCAAUGCCGCGUGUGUGAAGAAGGCCUUCGGGUUGUAAAGCACUUUUGUCCGAAAAGAAAUCCUUGGCUCUAAUACAGUCGGGGGAUGACGGUACCGGAAGAAUAAGCACCGGCUAACUACGUGCCAGCAGCCGCGGUAAUACGUAGGGUGCAAGCGUUAAUCGGAAUUACUGGGCGUAAAGCGUGCGCAGGCGGUUUGCUAAGACCGAUGUGAAAUCCCCGGGCUCAACCUGGGAACUGCAUUGGUGACUGGCAGGCUAGAGUAUGGCAGAGGGGGGUAGAAUUCCACGUGUAGCAGUGAAAUGCGUAGAGAUGUGGAGGAAUACCGAUGGCGAAGGCAGCCCCCUGGGCCAAUACUGACGCUCAUGCACGAAAGCGUGGGGAGCAAAACAGGAUUAGAUACCCUGGUAGUCCACGCCCUAAACGAUGUCAACUAGUUGUUGGGGAUUCAUUUCCUUAGUAACGCAGCUAACGCGUGAAGUUGACCGCCUGGGGAGUACGGUCGCAAGAUUAAAACUCAAAUGAAUUGACGGGGUC
rnacentral:rRNA from 1 species